UUUGAGGUGGACAGGAUGUGCAAGGAGACAUGCUUUAGCUGCGAGUUCGAAUAUGGAUUUUUAUAUAAAUAUAUAUAUAUUUUUAAAUUUUUCUUUUCAAACAACUCUCACUGUGUUCUUUCAGCACUUCAGAGCAGGGGAACUUUGAAGUUACCUUCAUUCAAAAAGAUGAGGAAGUUGCUGAUUUUGUGAAAUACAUCCAGAGACAGACAAGUCAUGUCCCAGGGAAAGGGGAAAGGGAUCUUCAUCUUGGACUGCGGCAAAGGAGUCAUCCAAAAAGUUCACUGGGAAAUUGGAUAAAGAGGGCAUGGAAAUAGCUGUCUGUCGCCAUGGAGUCCUCCUUGCUGCAUUAAACAUGUUUCGAGGGUAGAUCUUUGCUUACCCCAUUUUUCUGCAGAGGAAGUUGGUGGCUCAGCAGUGUCCUGAGAUGAGGAACCUGAGGAACCUGUCCAUGUGUCCUUUCUUCCCCGUCAUGCAUACAAAGGCUCACGCUUGGAAAUGUGAGGGCGAACAGACAUGCUGACCCUCCUGACUUUGGGGUGGAACAAACGGAAAGUGGAACAACUGGGCCACACUUUGAGCCAGAGAUAUCUAAAGGUAAAGUUUUCAACACAGAUGUUGAUGCAUGUGGUAAUGGAAAAAAAAAACAAAAAAAAACACGAGUACUAAUUAUCAGGUACGGUGUUUGAGAAAAUGAUUACCAUUACAUUCUUAUAUACAUGAGUUUGAAAGGCCAUACUGUAUACACAAACACGCGGGUACCACCAGGGGUUCAGCAUGGGGAGCUUUGGUGAUGCGAACACAACAUGAGGAGGUAAUAAGCUACCUUGGCUGAAUAAAAGAAUAGAACAGGUUAACUGGCGACUCUUAAUUGUCCUCAUCUUCCACAGGCAUGAGUGUAAGUGGUUGUUUGUCUCUAUGUACCCCGUGAUGAACUGCUGACUUCUCUAGGGUGUACCCUGUGUCUCACCAAGAGUCGGCUGGGAUAGGCUACCUGAUAAGGAUACAUUGUUACAGAUAAUGGACAAAGGAUAUCUCACUUCUCAGCAGGUGCUCAUAAAGUUUCCUCAUCUUCAUGAACAUGUCAUACACAUGACCUUCUGCUGGCUGGAUGUUGGUGAUGAGGUCUCCCACAAUAUGACCCUUACGGUCGUACUGGCCAAGAAACAGAAUUGGCUAGUAGCACGGGAUAUGUAGUUUUGAAACCUGCAAAAACAAAGAAAGUCUGGUCAGCCAGUCUGGUUUGACCAAUCAUCAUCACAGGGAAGUGGUUUACAGUGUGGGCAUGUAUAGGCGAGACCAACUCAAGAGGUACAACAACAUAAAUAAUGUUAAAUAAUUUUAUUUAUUUAUUUUUUAAGCUUUGAUCAGAUACAAAGUAAAGAAUGGCCUGAAAUGUAUCUCUCCGGAAUUUACAAAUUAUGAACAAAUGAGGUUUCCUUUCAAGCAAAUCUAUGCACAACUAACAACGCUGAUGUUAUGUUGUUUUUUUAUUUAUGCUCUUUUAUAAAUAAAUGUUCUCUGCUUGCA